GACGGAGGAUGCAAGUGUUAUCCGGAAUCACUGGGCGUAAAGCGUCUGUAGGUGGUUCAAUAAGUCAACUGUUAAAUCUUGAGGCUCAACUUCAAAAUCGCAGUCGAAACUAUUGGACUCGAGUAUAGUAGGGGUAAAGGGAAUUUCCAGUGGAGCGGUGAAAUGCGUAGAGAUUGGAAAGAACACCAAUGGCGAAAGCACUUUACUGGGCUACUACUGACACUGAGAGACGAAAGCUAGGGUAGCAAAUGGG
rnacentral:rRNA from 1 species